AGCGGUCACGUGAAGGACCGAGCGCCGCGCGCCCAGGCGGGGCCUCCGGCCUGCACGAGGAGGGCAGAGUCCGUUGCGGCUGCCGCCCCGACGCCCGCGCAUCCCCGCUCGCCGCGCCCGCCGCCGCGAUGUCCGGGGCCGGCCUAGCCGCGGUGGUGAGCUGCCUGCGCCCGCAGCCCGGCGAGGAGCCGCAGACCCAUGAGAUAUUUGGGUUCUUGGUCUGGACCAUGGUAGCCGCCACCCACAUAGUAUACCCCUUGCUGCAAGGAUGGGUGAUGUAUGUCUCACUCACCUCGUUUCUCAUCUCCUUGAUGUUCCUGUUGUCUUACUUGUUUGGAUUUUACAAAAGAUUUGAAUCCUGGAGAGUUCUGGACAGCCUGUACCACGGGACCACUGGCAUCCUGUACAUGAGCGCUGCCGUCCUACAAGUACAUGCCACGAUUGUUUCUGAGAAACUGCUGGACCCAAGAAUUUACUACAUUAAUUCGGCAGCCUCGUUCUUCGCCUUCAUCGCCACGCUGCUCUACAUUCUCCAUGCCUUCAGCAUCUAUUACCACUGAUGCACAGGCGCCAGGCCAAGGGGGAAAUGCUCUUUGAAAGCUCCAAUUAUUGGUCCCCAAAAGCAGCUUCCAACGUUUGCCAUCUGGAUGACAAACGGAAGAUCCACUAAAACGUCCACGGGAUUAACAGAACGUCCUUGCAGACUGAGCGAUGACACCACACUUUGUUUGGACA
ensembl:lncRNA novel transcript